AACAAGAGCCAAGGUCAGUCCUUAAACAAGGUAGGCAUAUAUUUGCCUAAGCAAGUGUUCUGCCAUGGACAACUAUAUGUGACACUAUCAAGAGUGACAAACAAGGAACGAUUGAAGGUACUGAUUGAUGACGAAGAAUGUCCAACUGAAGAUGUCGCAAAGAAUAUUGUUUACAAAGAGAUAUUUUAA
rnacentral:rRNA from 1 species